rnacentral:rRNA from 1 species
GACGAACGCUGGCGGCGUGCUUAACACAUGCAAGUCGAACGGAAAGGCCCUGCUUUUGUGGGGUGCUCGAGUGGCGAACGGGUGAGUAAUACGUGAGUAACCUGCCCUUGACUUUGGGAUAACUUCAGGAAACUGGGGCUAAUACCGGAUAGGAGCUCCUGCUGCAUUGUGGGGGUUGGAAAGUUUCGGCGGUUGGGGAUGGACUCGCGGCUUAUCAGCUUGUUGGUGGGGUAGUGGCUUACCAAGGCUUUGACGGGUAGCCGGCCUGAGAGGGUGACCGGCCACAUUGGGACUGAGAUACGGCCCAGACUCCUACGGGAGGCAGCAGUGGGGAAUAUUGCACAAUGGGCGGAAGCCUGAUGCAGCAACGCCGCGUGCGGGAUGACGGCCUUCGGGUUGUAAACCGCUUUCGCCUGUGACGAAGCGUGAGUGACGGUAAUGGGUAAAGAAGCACCGGCUAACUACGUG